rnacentral:tRNA from 1 species
GUUUCGUCUAGAGGCCUAGGACACCGCCCUUUCACGGCGGCAACACGGGUUCGAAUCCCGUACGGGACGCCA